UACAGAGGUCCCGAGCGUUGUUCGGAUUCAUUGGGCGUAAAGGGUGCGUAGGCGGCGGGGUAAGUUUGAUGUGAAAUCCCGGGGCUCAACCCUGGAAUUGCAUUGAAUACUACCUUGCUAGAGUACGGAAGAGGCAAGUGGAAUUCCUGGUGUAGCGGUGGAAUGCGCAGAUAUCAGGAGGAACACCUAUAGCGAAGGCAGCUUGCUGGGACGUUACUGACGCUAAGGCGCGAAAGCGUGGGGAGCGAACAGG
rnacentral:rRNA from 1 species